rnacentral:lncRNA from 13 species
UUCAACGACAAGCAUCUGCCUGGAGUAACGUUGGCAAAGCUAAACUAAACAGAGGCAUGGUGCAUUUCCGAGCGAAGUACCGUUAGUUAGCUCAGUUACUAAUAACGUGUUAGCUAGCUAGGCUAAUGUUAGCUGGAUGUUGCUAGCUAGUUUGCAAAUGAAACCGUUGUCUCUUUUCUCGGGGCAAUUUCAAUGUAGCUAUAAUGCAUAAUAUAAGUGUACCAACUUACCUCGUGUUUUGUAUAGGUGUCAACCCGCUCAAUAUGACUUGACUGUGAAUUGAUUGUUUGUAUUUUUGUUGUAGCAAGCAAGCUAGCUAGCAGUACACCUCUUUUGACGUUACCACAGCAACCAACCAUUACCGCGAGACUUUGGGGGAAAUCUCGGAGAAGUGGAAUCCCUCUGCAAAACCCUACCCCUCGUGACCACUGACGUAUGACACGUUUACUAACACAUCAAAGACAUUCUUCUCUAGUCCAGUGGAGGGCGCAACCCGUCUACAUUUGUAUAUCGCCUCUAAUUUAUGAGGGCGAGGGUUAAAAAUACUACUGCGCAUGUACGUGCACUAUGCUCCGCCAUCCAGUGGGGUAAUCGUCUUCCUCUUUGGAGAGAACUUCGCCUGCCUGCCUAUGCAUUGGAUUUGAUUAUAUUUGUGUUUCGGUCCUCGGUAUGGACUCUCAAAAAAGCUCCUCUACACAUCAAUGAUUUGGCACAUUUGACAUUGAUCUCGUUCUUGAAUAUGAUGACACCGGUGUACUUCUGUUAAGUAAUUCACUUCCUAAUUUCUAUUGUGGUUUUGACAGUCACAGUAGGUGUCGAAGUCAUUCAUGUCAUUUAUUAUACAGCGUUGCCUGUCCUAUAGGCCGUUUGUUUGUCUGCCACUUUAGGUCUGACAGUCUGUUACUGUUAUUGUAACAAAACCUAUCAUUAUAAAGUCAAUAUUUGUGCUUACACGUCUUUCGUGGACUUGUCAUGUAUCGCAGAUUAUUACAAUAUUUUUGAAGUCAUCCUGAAAAAAUAAACAUCAAAUGUGUUAUGAAAUGUCAGACACGUUGCUUUAAGUCUGUUGUCAAGGGCCUAUAGCAACAGGAUGGUCUUAUCGUUUGUCUUUGUUUUCUGUUUGUUAUCAGCAUAACGAGGGUGUGACGAUCAAACAGGAAAUGACCUGUAUGGCUACCUCUCCUUUCUACCGAAAUAAAAGGAGGAAGGAAAGAUGUACACGAAAAAGAGAGUAUAGCCUUUAGCACGUGCUGUCAAUCUAAGCUUCUUCUAAGUCUAUUACACAGUCAGAGGGAGAGAGAGAGGUCACCCCAGUGGCACAGGUCUAUUAUAACCCUCAGUCAGAGAGGAGAGGUGUGACAUCACUCAAGAAGGAAGUGGCACUAGUUGUGAGCCAGCACCUCAGACAGAUGGGAAGGCAGACAGACAGACAGUAUAUUUGCAAUCAAAUUCUGACUUUACAACAUUAAUCCAUUUUAAUUAUUAUUAUUAUUGUUUUAAGUAGUUGUCCAUCUCCAAUAGAAACCAUUACAGUUCCAUUUGGCUGGGGUUUGAGUUAGUCGUUCAUAAAACAUUUUUAUUUUUGCUAAGUACUAGAGUAGUGUUCAGUAAAGGAACUUCAUACAGCCACACGCCUGGAAAUUCAUUUUAGUUUCAGAUUAUUAUUAUUUUUUUAAUCAAACCACCUUUCCCUCCUUCCACUUGACUUUUAAAACCAACUCACCAUGUUUGAGCUCUGUCAUUUUAGGGUCCUACGUUUUGACAGUGUUUUACAGUGGAGUAUCCAUUGGGCUGAACAGAAUGCUACUGAAAUAGAUACAGGCCUGAGGCCAGCAUUGAGUUGACAUGUGUUUCCUAGGCAGGGGCCUUUGCUGUGGUUACAGUAUCCAGUCCACUACUACUGGUAGUGGCCACAGCUCAAAUAGUAGUAGUAUUUCUAUCCACAGCAUAAAAUGACUAGUACACUGUUUCUGAGUACUGCAGAUCCUGCUCUCUUUUUAUUUAGAGCCAAUUAGGCGUACAUGUCAAACAUCCUUCCUCCAAAGGACCUUGUUAGCCUCAUAACUUACUCCAUGUUGAUCUUCCGUGACAUUUUUUUUCUCAAUUUAGGAAAACAUUACCACAUUUGGGGGGGGGGGGAGUUCCUCCAACUACUAUGGGUUCAGGUCAAAAACAGUGCAUCUAUAUAUUGAAUAAAUAGGUUUCCAUACCAGACACAGGCCUGGGGAAUGUCCACACAGGGUUUUGCUGUGUAUCUCUACUGUGAAAUAGCUUGUUGAGAGUAGUUUUAAGUCCUGUUAAACCCCUGCCUUUGUAGCUGAUGUGUAUCUGCUUCUGCUGUAACACUGCUGUUAUGUGUAGGCCAUACGACCUACUGCUGUUAUGUGUAGGCCAUACGACCUACUGCUGUUAUGUGUAGGCCAUACGACCUACUGCUGUUAUGUGUAGGCCUACGAGCUUCUGCUGUAACACUGCUGUUAUGUGUAGGCCUACGAGCUACUGCUGUUAUGUGGAGGCCUAUGAGCUACUGCUACACCAUUGUUAUGGAACCUCAUGUUCAUCUGAGUUAGUUGUUGCCAAUUAGCAUGGGGUUGUCUAUCGGUUAUCUAUCGGUUGAGUUGGAUGGGUAGGCAAUAGUCUAAGGUCAACGUUAAGCCUGUCCUUUUCAGAGGGCACAGAGAAGGUCCUACUGUACUGUUCAAACUGUCAAAUCCUAUCACAUCUACAUAGUGCCUAGGAGUUAAGGACCGGGGGGGGGGGUCUAUAUUAGUAGGUCAGAAAACAUUUGUAGGGUUAGCCGACCUAAUGCAUUAAGAUAAUCAUCAGUCUGUGGUGUCAUGCAACAGCUGUAAAUAGAAGUGAAGGCCAAUCCUCCAAUCUGCCUAAUCAUGUUGUGUUGCUCAGUAGCAUGGUCCCUCGUUCAGCAGGUCGGUCCUUUCCCGUGGGAACCAACAGACAUCUGCCUACAUUCACAUGAUAUAGAGGAACAUACAGAAACACAAACAUUUCUGUACACUGUCCAAGACAAUACACAUACACAGUACUGUAUCUACACUGAGUGGACAAAACAUUAGGAACACCUUCCUAAUAUUGAGUUGCCCCCCCCCAUUUUGCCCUCAGAACAGCCUCAAUUCGUGGGGACAUGGACUCUAUGAGGUGUUGAAAGCGUUCCACAGGGAUGCUGGUCCAUGUUGACUCCAAUGCUUCCCACGGUUGUGUCAAGUUGGCUGGAUGUCCUUUGGGUGGUGGACCAUUCUUGAUACACGCGGGAAACGGUUGAGCGUGAAAAACCCAGCAACGUUGUAGUUCUUGACACACUCAACCCGGUGUGCCUGGCACCUACUACCAUACCCCGUUAAAAGACACUUCAAUCUUUUGUCUUGACAUUCACCCUCUGAAUAGCACACAUACACAAUCCAUGUCUCAAAAAUCCUUAUUUAACUCGUCUCCUCACCUUCAUCUACACUGAUUUGAAGUGGAUUUAACAAGUGACUUCAAUAAGGUGUUCCUAAUGUUUUGUACACUCAGUGUAUAUUGUAUAUCUUAUUGUACAGUGGAAAUCUGAUAUUAGUUGGAUGUGGAAACUGAACUGGGGCAAUGGCUCCUUAGAAUCUGUGGAUUAUUUUAUAUCUAUGAUUCUGUUUGUCCUGUUCAAUGUAUAGCCUGGUAUUUAGGUGUUUUUCAGAAAAUGUUACCUGAUGCUCAUUCAAAUAUCAAUCCAAAUCAAAUCCAUCUUGACGAUAUUAAAUUGGAACUACUCUAGUACAAACCUUGAUCAAAUCUCCAGUAAAUUGGUGAUUUUGAUACUUUAGUGUACAACAUGUAGGUCAACAAGUAUCAUGUACACUACCACAUAAGUUACUAAUGAACAGAGAACGAGACAUUUUAAAAUGGCUGAGGAGAGAACACAAUAGGCCUUUUCCCACUGCAUUGCUCUUAGCCCCAGUCUGGACUGGUCACACACAGCAUUUGUUAACCCUGAGCUAACAGACAAACACAACAUGCGACCAAUGUCAAUAAGCAAUAAGACAUUUUAAUAAUCUAUUACUUCUUGCUUCUAGCCUGGCAUUUGAUUUCCAACAGUGAUGGUUGUAUAUAAACCUUGCUGUUUGUCUGUCCCACAUCGGAAACAAUGUCAACAAAACCCCCAUCUCUAUUUCCAUCGUGGUCCUGUCAGUUACUGUAGUCAAUACUGUAGGCGAUAUUGACACUGUACACUAAUUAAAUUGACAGGAGGGCGACGGAGGUCCUAAUGAACAGAAUUAGCUUAACUCGUGGUGUUGGGGCCUUUUGUCUGCUUGUGUCGGCAUGAACUCUGCAUGUCAAUCUCCAAGUGAGAGGAGAGAUUGACUGCCUCACUACAUGUCUUUUGUGAGAGGUAUUGACAUGUUGAAAGCACAGAGCUGUCUGUGUUUAAACGGCUAGUGCACAGCUCAGACACCCAUGCACCCCCCC